rnacentral:rRNA from 1 species
UACGAAGGGUGCAAGCGUUACUCGGAAUUACUGGGCGUAAAGCGUGCGUAGGCGGUUUGUUAAGUCCGUUGUGAAAGCCCUGGGCUCAACCUGGGAAUUGCAGUGGAUACUGGCGAGCUAGAGUGCGGUAGAGGAUGGUGGAAUUCCCGGUGUAGCGGUGAAAUGCGUAGAGAUCGGGAGGAACACCCGUGGCGAAGGCACUCUACUGGGCCACUACUGACACUGAGAGACGAAAGCUAGGGGAGCAAAUGGG